UAAUAAGGACCCACCGUCUAGCACGGGGAACUCUACACAGUACUCUGCCAUGACCUCUAACAGAAUGGACUCCAAAGAGGACAUACGUGCAUAUGCGUAACUGAUUCACUUUGCUGUACGCAGAAACUAACGCUACAUUGCCAGUCAACUAUACUCCAGAUAAAAAUUAAUCUUGGAAGAAGAGAAAGCAGCAGGGUGAGUGAAGGCUGAAGCAGCAGGUCUGGGUGCUCAUUUAGAAGCGGCGUCUCACAACUGAAGACGCUCGCACCCUGCUCGUUCUCAGAAGAGUCAGCCUCUCUUAAGACUCUGUUUCCGUCUGUCUCUCCCUGUGUGGACGGAUAUUCAGCUGACUUCUGGCCGUGGAGAUGCUGUGCUGAGUUUGGGAGCGCAGAGGUGGACUUCCACCCCAGGUUUCCAGAGAAGCGCGAGGCGGGGAGCUUGGUGGCUGCAGAGACGAUUCCUCAUCACCAUGGACUUGGCACAGGAACCAUGUGAGGGGUCGCCGGGUUCAGGGCACAGGGACCCCAGGCCGCGGGGUGGGGGUCUUCCUUUCUUGCACUCAAGCUGUAGCACCUUCUCUUGGGGUAUCUAAUGCCUUGAGAGUGCUGAGACACACCCUUUCACAGUUGUUUGUUAUUCUCGCCUCUAAUAUCACACGAUUUAUAAAAAUAUAAAUAAGAAA